CAGCCGUAAACUAUGCUCGCUAGGUGUCAGGCAUGGCGCGACCGUGUCUGGUGCCGCAGGGAAGCCGUGAAGCGAGCCACCUGGGAAGUACGGCCGCAAGGCUGAAACUUAAAGGAAUUGGGCGGGGGAGCACAACAACGGGUGGAGCCUGCGGUUUAAUUGGACUCAACGCCGGGAAGCUCACCGGAUAAGACAGCGGAAUGAUUGCCGGGCUGAAGACUCUGCAUGACUAGCUGAGAGGAGGUGCAUGGCGUAGGACGUCU
rnacentral:rRNA from 1 species